rnacentral:lncRNA from 1 species
AUUUUCACUUUCAGGCCCUCCUGUCCCAACUUAAUGUAAUAAUAAAAAUAGGUACUUUUUAGUCUAUUUAAAUGGCAUUUUAAAUAUUUAUAUUGCUUUUUUAAAGAAAAAGAAACUAAAUGUUGGUCAAAACUAUUAUAAUGAUGAGAUCUUAAUCUAGGAAACUGCCAUGUGUUGCAAUUCACUUUGUGCUUUGACACUACUUUCACUGUGAAACUAUUUUCACUGCCAAAAGCAAAAUAUCAUUAAAUACUUAUACUUUUAUUCUGUUCUUUUUUUUUUUUUUAACUACAUUUUGCAUUCAAUUUAGAUUCAUGCUACAUUGGCAUUUCAAAGUGAAAGAUGUCCAGAGACCAGUUUUAAUACUACAGCUAUAAUUUACUCUGAAUGGUGUUAUAGCCUCUACAUGCCAGCAGACUGGUUUCCAGAAAACACUUCAGGGCUUUAUGUGCCUACUGUAUGGAUGGAUGGCAAGCUUUGUGUCCACGCAAGAGUUACCUACACCUAUGAGACUCUACACACAGCAGAAGAUGUGCAUCCUGCUUGGGAGACCGCUUACAACCACAAGUCUUGCUGUUUGGCAUGAGAAGACAGGGAAACUUAACUGCUAUGGAAACAAGAGCAGAUUCAUGAAAGGAGAAUUCAGUGGCUUCUACAGUCUGCAUGACAUUUUACAGACGUAAAGGGAAAGGAAGUUAAAAACCACUGAAAGCUGAUAUUAAGAAGCACCGACCAUCUGGAAAGAAACUUCAUUGUCAUGAUUUCCAGAGCAGAGUUGCAGAAGUACUUAGAUAACCUUCAGAAAAAAAGUGAUCCUGCAUGAUGUUGUGAAACACAUUUCCAAUUUCUAAGGUUUGUCACCAGUAUUUGGCAAGCUGUGUUAUUUGUGGACGAGUUAUUACAUUAUUUACUUCUCUGCACCACAGCUGCCUCCAUCCCUGUACAAUGAUUUAAAACUAAAUAAUGCUGUCAUGUGUGUUAUAACAAAGAUAGAUUUGCAGAGAAAAUAAUGCCAGCUGUAUGGAAAGUCUUAAAUACUCGUGUUCAUGGUCAUCAUGAGUGAUUGGAUUUGGUUUUCUGCUCUUCUUUUUCUGCUCAAUUCUGAAAGAGUAGUAAUACACAUUCUGCUUUCAAUUAACAUUUACUAAAAUCAGAACAAAAUAUCUUCCAGAAGGUUUCAUAAGGAAAAGAAAAAAUAUGAACUAUUUAUGGAAUCAAGAUGAAGUAUCAACAAGUUUCAUUUUCACUUGUGUGGGCAAUGUAAGUAAGUAGAUAUGUCAUACUGUGAGCAGAGGAACAUAAUACAAUUUGCUUACAGUGUAAGAGAAAAUGAGCAAUCCAGCAUAACAGAUGAAAUUUAUGGUAAGUGGGGAUGUGUUGGACACUUCAGUAAGGGCUCAACUCAAGUGCAUAAACAUAGGCACCUAAUAUUGUCUGUAUUACAUUGGAGCAUCACAGGCAUGUUCAGUUUUAGUUAAGUGGCUUUUAGCCAUCUAGAGUAAG